ensembl:snRNA U1 U1 spliceosomal RNA
AUACUUACCUGGCAAGGGAGAUACCGUGAUCAUGAAGGUGGUUUCCCAGGGCGAAGCUUAUCAUUACACUCUGGAUGUGCUGUCCCCUGCAAUUUCCCCAAAUGUGGGAAACACAACUGCAUAAUUUGUGGUAUCAGGGGACUGUGUUUGUGCUUUCCCCUG